ACUACCACCUUGUUAUCAACAGCAUCUGCUGCUACCACAUCAAUGCUAAUAACUACAACUGCAGCUCCGCCCCCUACAGGCCAAACUUCUAACGGUUUGGAGUAUCUGGCACAUCUAAACAUGAAGUUAAUAUCUUAUGAAGAGAUCAGCAAUGSAACCAUAGUUCAUCUCAUUGAACAGUUUUUCAGAGAGCAGCUCCUCAAUGGAACCGCCCACAAGGUGACUGUGCGAAGCAUUCAGCGGGUUAGAGUUAACCCAUAGACAAACAGCAUCCACAUGGCAUGCUCUGUUAUUUAAAUAUCUACAUAAGUGUGAAUGAUAUUUAUACRUAUUGUAGUUCAACACACACAGUCUCUCCAUGAUUUCCGGGUAGAUCAACUCAGAGUUGGUUUUCAGUUCCAGCAGCUCWUCACUUUAAGYUCAGUYAAGUAUCUGAACCUGGAGUUGGCUUUGGGACGAUGUUUAGCCAGUAAAUAUCAUCCAUGUUGGAGUUGGAGCUCCUUAAAUGUAGGUCAGAAAACCUUCACCAGGUCUAAAACACUUAGGAAUGAUUUAUGUUUCAAUAUCAAUCAGUCUGGAACAGAAAACCUGARUUAACUUAAUCAUUUUAUAAAUAACCUGCUUUCUGGAAAACCCUUAUGGAACUCCRUAAGUACCAUAACUAAACACAAAAUUGUUUAGUUUGUGUAGAUUCAAGAUAACGUCUGAACACAAUGAUUUCUCAUGAUCGACUAUGCAAAGUGUAUUAUUCUUAGUAUAAAAAUGUGAUAAA